UUGCUUAUUUAUACCUGUUGUCCCCGUAGGACUUGGGGCUUCCGAGGUCAUCUGGCCUUGUCUGCUAUCUCUUAUUUGUCUUCAGUGCAGGGCUUGGCACAGAAUAGGUGCUUGGUGCAGCACGGGUUGCCUCAGAGAAUGAAUUUGAGGUGUGUCCAUCUCUCCUGCUUCCUGAGCUCCCCUUAGCAAAGAUAUUCUGCAAGAUACAAGGAUCCUAACUGGCCUUUGGUAGGUCUUGCUAGACUCAGGUGCUCAGAGAUGUAAAUGUUAAUCAUUCCAUAGAGCUGUUUUUUUAAAGCACCUGUUAAAAGCAUAGCACUGUGACUAAAAGGAUUUAUACAAUUGAUCACUUGGCAUUUUAGUUAUUUCAACCCUAGAAGUAACCAUGGCAUGACAAGGAGGGAGACACACCUCAUGUCAGAGGUCCCAGAGAAAGGUAACAUCUGAUGAGGGGCAGACACAUAGGAGGUAUGAGUUGGAAUUCACUUGGGGUGGUUGGCAAAACAUUACAGAAAAUAUUUAGGGAAAGUUAUAAGUUAUAUAGUCUCAAACCUUUGGGAAGGCCGAAAGGUUUUAAUAGGGCAGGCGGAAAGUGACUGGCUGGUUCGUUAAGUUCCAGUUUAAGUCUGUUUACCCUACAUCCCUUUGUCUCUACUUUGUUUACUCAUGUAACUUUGUGCUGGAUGGGCCUCUCGGGGAGAUCAAAGGGUAAUUACCUGUUAAUAGGGUUUACUCUGGGCCUGGAAGCUAAAGCUUUUAUCAUUCGUAUAACCACUUUUUUAACCAUGUUAAUUAUCCAUGAAUGUGUUAACUUAGAACCUCUGUUAGGAAUAAAUGUGUGGAUGGACAGGGAGUCUUGCUUGACCGGUUGCAUUUUGCCCUCUGAAAGCAGCCAACAGCCAUCCCUAGCCCACCUGAAACACUGUAAUGGUGUGAGUGCAUUCAUUCAUCCAUCCUUCAAUCAGGGUCUGCAGGCCAGACUUCCGCAGGAGGUAUUCUGUGGACAGGGGUUUUGA
rnacentral:lncRNA from 1 species